GCAAGUCGAGGGGUAACAGGGAGUGCUUGCACUCCGCUGACGACCGGCGCACGGGUGCGCACCGCGUAUGGAACCUACCUUUUGCAGGGGAAUAGCCCAGGGAAACUUGGAUUAAUGCCCCGUAGUACCUUUAUAUAGCAUUAUAAUAAGGUUAAAGCCUAGGGUCGGCUAGAGAUGGCCAUGCGUCCCAUUAGUUUGAUGGUAAGGUAACGGCUUACCAUGGCUACGAUGGGUAGGGGCCCUGAGAGGGGGAUC
rnacentral:rRNA from 1 species